rnacentral:rRNA from 1 species
UUAACUUGGGAGUCAGAACAUGGGUGAUAAGGUCCGUGUUCGAAAGGGAAACAGCCCAGACCACCAGCUAAGGUCCCAAAAUAUAUGUUAAGUGGAAAAGGAUGUGGCGUUGCCCAGACAACUAGGAUGUUGGCUUAGAAGCAGCCAUCAUUUAAAGAGUGCGUAAUAGCUCACUAGUCGAGUGACACUGCGCCGAAAAUGUACCGGGGCUAAACAUAUUACCGAAGCUGUGGAUUGUCCUUUGGACAAUGGUAGGAGAGCGUUCUAAGGGCGUUGAAGCAUGAUCGUAAGGACAUGUGGAGCGCUUAGAAGUGAGAAUGCCGGUGUGAGUAGCGAAAGACGGGUGAGAAUCCCGUCCACCGAUUGACUAAGGUUUCCAGAGGAAGGCUCGUCCGCUCUGGGUUAGUCGGGUCCUAAGCUGAGGCCGACAGGCGUAGGCGAUGGAUAACAGGUUGAUAUUCCUGUACCACCUAUAAUCGUUUUAAUCGAUGGGGGGACGCAGUAGGAUAGGCGAAGCGUGCGAUUGGAUUGCACGUCUAAGCAGUAAGGCUGAGUAUUAGGCAAAUCCGGUACUCGUUAAGGCUGAGCUGUGAUGGGGAGAAGACAUUGUGUCUUCGAGUCGUUGAUUUCACACUGCCGAGAAAAGCCUCUAGAUAGAAAAUAGGUGCCCGUACCGCAAACCGACACAGGUAGUCAAGAUGAGAAUUCUAAGGUGAGCGAGCGAACUCUCGUUAAGGAACUCGGCAAAAUGACCCCGUAACUUCGGGAGAAGGGGUGCUCUUUAGGGUUAACGCCCAGAAGAGCCGCAGUGAAUAGGCCCAAGCGACUGUUUAUCAAAAACACAGGUCUCUGCUAAACCGUAAGGUGAUGUAUAGGGGCUGACGCCUGCCCGGUGCUGGAAGGUUAAGAGGAGUGGUUAGCUUCUGCGAAGCUACGAAUCGAAGCCCCAGUAAACGGCGGCCGUAACUAUAACGGUCCUAAGGUAGCGAAAUUCCUUGUCGGGUAAGUUCCGACCCGCACGAAAGGCGUAACGAUUUGGGCACUGUCUCAACGAGAGACUCGGUGAAAUCAUAGUACCUGUGAAGAUGCAGGUUACCCGCGACAGGACGGAAAG